CCGGGAAGAGCUCAAAUUUGAAAUCUGGCGUCCUCAGGGCGUCCGAGUUGUAAUCUAUAGAGGCGUUUUCCGUGCCGGACCGUGUCCAAGUUCCUUGGAACAGGAUAUCAAAGAGGGUGACAAUCCCGUACUUGACACGACGACCGGUGCUCUGUGAUACGUCUUCUACGAGUCGAGUUGUUUGGGAAUGCAGCUCAAAAUGGGUGGUGAGUUCCAUCUAAAGCUAAAUAUUGGCGAGAGACCGAUAGCGAACAAGUACCGUGAGGGAAAGAUGAAAAGCACUUUGGAAAGAGAGUUAAACAGUACGUGAAAUUGUUGAAAGGGAAACGAUUGAAGUCAGUCGUGACCGAGAGGCUCAGCCGGUUCUGCCGGUGUAUUCCCCUCGGUCGGGUCAACAUCAGUUUUGUCCGGUGGAUAAGGGCGGUAGGAAGGUGGCACCCUCGGGUGUGUUAUAGCCUGCCGUCGCAUACAUCGGGUGAGACUGAGGAACGCAGCUCGCCUUUAUGGCCGGGGUUCGCCCACGUCCGAGCUUAGGAUGUUGACAUAAUGGCUUUAAACGACCCGUCUUGA
rnacentral:rRNA from 1 species